GGGGCAGCCGCUGUCCCUGUCCUCCAGGAGCUCACUUGGUCCGGCCGUGCGCUCCUCGAGGCCAGAG
ensembl:miRNA microRNA 339